AUGCAUGCACUAGGGGAACCAGGCAACUUGACGUACGCAGUAGGUUGCCCUGCGUUCACUCUUGAGCUGCGGCAAGUCCAGUGGCCCAGCACGAAGAAUUUCAAGCCAGAUGUACCAGAGAAGUACGACGGCAAGUCGCAUCCGUCGGAGUUCCUCAGCAUCUACACCAUCGCGGUGCAAGCUGCCGGGGGGCGGGACGACAAGAUCCUGGCCAACCACUUCCCACUGGUGCUCAAGCCCAAUGUCAGAUCCUGGCUCAUGCACUUGCCGGACAACUCCAUAUCCUCCUGGGCAGACCUAUGCCAUCAGUUUGUCGGUGCCUUUACAGGCGGCCACAAGCCUCAUGGCCAAGAGAGCGACCUUCAUCUGCUCGCCCAGAAGGAAGGAGAACCCCUGCGCAAGUACAUUCAGAGAUUCAGCCGCGUACAGCACAACAUCCCAGAUGUCCACCCUACCGCGGUGAUCAGCGCGUUCCAUCAGAACGUGCGAAACUGCAGGAUGCAGGAGGAGAUGGCAAUGUGCAAAAUCAGAGACAUCAGUGAGCUAUAUGCCCUGGCCGACAAGUGUGCACGUGCUGAGGAAGGGAGGAAACUCCCCGGAGAGAAUACAGAAGCAGGAGGAUCUGAUAGUGAGGAGGCUGCCCCAGCAAAGAAAAACCGGCGGCGGAACAAUAGGAAGAAGAAAGGCAAAGAUGUGCUAGUCGUUGAGCAGUCCGGCAACGGAAGUGGCGCCAAGAAAGCCAAAGCUGGUAGCUCCGGCAAGGAGAUUACCGCAGGCACCAACUACCAGGUUGUGGCGGUCGCCGACAAGCAGGACGGCACCAACAAGCAGUACUGCAAGAUCCACCGCACCAAGGGCCAUGACCUCCAAAGCUACAAGAAGGUCGAGCAGCUUGUCGAGGAGCAAAAGGCUGAAUACGAGCGACGCGGCAAGGAGAGGGCCCAGGAAGGUGCUGGAGGAGCCGGCAAGAAAUGCCCCGGCCGAGGAGGACGCCACGGCAAGGCCAAGCAGCGGCAAGGAGACAGACCUCCCUGCGGCCGCGACAAGGAUGAAGAUGAUGACGAGAUGAAGAUAUGGAUGAUGACGAGACCGAUGAGCAGGAGUUCCAGAAAGCCACAGAGGUCCUGUGCGUUGACGGCGGUGCUUCUCUGCAUACUUCACACCGCCAGCUCAAGCAGUGGGUGCGGGAAGUCAAUGUGGCAGAACCACCUGUCGAGUCACGCAAGCCUCUGA
rnacentral:rRNA from 1 species